AGGCCACUGCUAUUGGGGUUCGGCUAAGCCAUGCGAGUGGAGGGCGCGGUCGAAAGAUCGUGGCCCCGCACACGGCUCAGUAACACGCCGUUAAUCUACCCUCGGGUCAGGGACAACUUCGGGAAACUGAGGAUAAUCCCUGAUGGACAAAGGAUGCUGGAAUGCCUCUUUGUCGAAAGCUCAGGCGCCCGAGGAUGAGACGGUGCCCUAUCAGGCUGUUGGUGGUGUAAAGGACCACCAAACCUACAACGGGUACGGGCGAUGGUAGUCGGAGCCCGGAGAUGGGGACUGAGACAAGGCCCCAGGCCCUACGGGGCGCAGCAGGCGCGAAAACUCCGCAAUGCGCUCAUGCGUGACGGGGGAACCCCAAGUGUCGCUGAUCUUCCGAUCGGCGAUUUUUCAAGAGUGUAAGGAGCUCUUGGAAUAAGGGCUGGGUAAGGCUGGUGCCAGCCGCCGCGGUAAUACCAGCAGCCCAAGUGGUGGUCGCGAUUAUUGGGCCUAAAGCGCUCGUAGCCGGGUUAGUAAGUCCCUUGUGAAAUCGGGUCGCCUAACGAUUCGGCUUGCAAGGGAGACUACUGAUCUUGAGGCCGGGAGACGCCGAGGGUACUCCAGGGGUAGCGGUGAAAUGCUGUAAUCCUUGGGGGACUACCAGUGGCGAAGGCGCUCGGCGAGCACGGACCUGACGGUGAGGGGCGAAGGCUAGGGGCACGAACGGGAUUAGAUAUUGCUGGAGCUAUUGCUUGGCAACUAAUAACCCCGGUAGUCCUAGCUGUAAAGUAUGCGGGCUGGGUGCUCGGAGCCCCUCGAGAGCUCCAAGUGCCGUAGGGAAGCUGUUAAGCCCGCCGCCUGGGAAGUACGGUCGCAAGGCUGAAACUUAAAGAAAUUGACGGGGGAGCACCACAAGGGGUGGAGCCUGCGGUUC
rnacentral:rRNA from 1 species